rnacentral:rRNA from 1 species
UACGGGGGGGGGCAAGCGUUGUUCGGAAUUACUGGGCGUAAAGGGCUCGUAGGCGGCCAACUAAGUCAGACGUGAAAUCCCUCGGCUUAACCGGGGAACUGCGUCUGAUACUGGAUGGCUAGAGGUUGGGAGAGGGAUGCGGAAUUCCAGGUGUAGCGGUGAAAUGCGUAGAUAUCUGGAGGAACACCGGUGGCGAAGGCGGCAUCCUGGACCAAUUCUGACGCUGAGGAGCGAAAGCGUGGGGAGCGAACAGG